rnacentral:lncRNA from 1 species
AUCUUUAAUACUUCGCAGCGGAAUUAAUUCAAACUUCUAAAACAGUCUUUGGCAUGAAGGCCUCAUCAUAAAUAUCUCUUAGAAAUUCAGUUUAAAAACAUAGUCAUAAACUUCAUAAAGUAAUACGUAAGGAAUAGAAAAGUAUGCAACAAAGUUUCCAUCCCGUUACGUAUCAGAGCAACUAAAGACACACGUGAGA